rnacentral:rRNA from 1 species
UACGGAGGGGGCUAGCGUUGUUCGGAAUUACUGGGCGUAAAGCGCACGUAGGCGGCUUUGUAAGUUAGAGGUGAAAGCCUGGGGCUCAACUCCAGAACUGCCUUUAAGACUGCAUCGCUUGAAUCAUGGAGAGGCGGGUGGAAUUCCGAGUGUAGAGGUGAAAUUCGUAGAUAUUCGGAAGAACACCAGUGGCGAAGGCGGCCCGCUGGACAUGUAUUGACGCUGAGGUGCGAAAGCGUGGGGAGCAAACAGG